GUUUUUAUACGGUGGGAGUGCAAAGCACGCUGGGACCGGUUGGCUUGGAUUUGAAGGCAAGCGGGAACUCUCGGCCCUGGCCUGAGUGAGCCAGAGGAGAGGAGGACAGCCCUAUUACUGGUGCUUGGACAGCUUUCUAGCAAGUCUCUUGGAAAUCUGAGGAGGAGAUGGAACUGGCGAAUACUCUAAGUCAAGACGGCGAGUCCAGAAGAGGUGUUUUAGCUCACUUGGAAAGACUAGAGACUCAAGUGAGCAGAUGCCGUAAAAAACUGGAAGAGCCACAGAGCGCACAGGCAGUGGAAAGUGCUCUUGGAACCAGGAUUCAUGAAUUGAGACGUCUGCGAGAUAAGCUGAGGGCUGAAGUGAAACAACAUCAAGCUAGAGUUAAAGCAUCUACUACCAAUGUAGAACCGGACCAAACAUUAGAGAUUACUGAGCAAGAAUUUUUGAAGAGAAAACGGGAAAACGUGAAAGCCAUUCUGCAGGCAUAUCGUUUUACAGGGAUCAGCGGGAAACUGACCAGCCGAGGAGUCUGUGUCUGCAUCGGCACUGCUUUUGAGGGGAAUCUGCUGGAUUCCUAUUUUGUGGACCUUGUCAUGCAGAAACCACCUCAGAUACAUCACCAUUCGAUUCCAGUCUUCAUUCCCCUAGAGGAGAUAUCUGCAAAAUACUUACAGACUAAUAUUCAGCACUUCCUGUUCACUCUCUGCGAGUACCUGAAUGCUUACUCUGGGAGGAAGUACCAGGCAGAUCGACUUCAGAGUGACUUUGCAGCCUUUCUGGCUGGGCCCUUGCAGAGAAACUCACUGUGCAACUUGCUGUCAUUUACUUACAAAGCAGAGCCGGAAGGCCAGUCCUUCCCAUUUUGUGCUAGACUGCUGUAUAAGGACCUCACGACAACUCUUCCAACUGAUGUCACUGUUACUUAUCAAGGGACGGAUGCAUUAUCCACCACACGGGAAGAACAGCGAGCAGCCCAUGAAAAUCUGUUUUUUACAAAGCCCCUACAUCAAGUGUUUACUUCAUUUGCAAGCAAAGGAGACAAGUUGGAUAUGAGCCUGGUCUCCUAGAAUAUUAUUUUCAUUGGGAACACAUCAGAAGUGAGUAAACUAGUACUGACCACAGUUGCAAGCAAGGUCCUGGGAACUGAAAACUGUUGAAAGGCUCAGACUCCUUGCCUGGGGACUGUCCUUGCAAUGAGAACAGACACCCACCUCAUCAGCAUGGUUAGGGACAAGUUUGAGUCUGUAGACCCUGGCAUUUUCGGACAGUUCUCCAUGAUUGCCUGGUCAUUUGUUACAGUGCUCAAGAGUAUCUCUUGAGAUAUUGAUUUGAUCAUACAUUUUAGCUGAAAAUCAGAGUGGUCUGUGGGGUAAUAGAGAGCAUUUUGUGAAAAAGGGAGUAUGUACCAUUCAAUUGAAGAGUAUUUCUAGCUUUUAUGAUACCUUCAAGUAAUUUUGCCUUACUUUCCUUAUCUGCGACUUUUGAAAAGAAAGUUCUUAGAACACUCUAGGUUCGUGAUACGACAUGAAUCAUAUAGUUAAGAAGGGAAGUGUGUUUAAUCUUUGGUUUGGAACGGAAUAUUCUAGGUCACUGCUUUACAAAGAAUAUGGCAUGAGAAGGUACUAUGGAUAAAACAAUCGGGGUUCCAUGUAUCUAAUGUCGUUUCCUAGAACAUGUUAGUAGAGCACAGAGUGUAUUAAGCUCAGCGGUAAAAAAGCAUGAUCAGAAGUCUCCUCAUAACUUGAUCACUGCAGAGGGAAGCGGACCCCCCUCCUUUGUCUCUUCCCUCCCCUGCAAGCUCCAGGCCCUGGCUGCACAUGUGUCUUCCUCAUCUCCUAGUCCAGGUAAAAGGAAAUAUUGCACUUUCUGCUCUCAUGACUAAGGUGACUGGGGUUCCAGAAGAACCUUUCAAGAUUAUCAGGACGAGGCCCAUUUUUCACGUAACUCGGACCACAGAGGCAAGCAGGUCUUCAGAGUGAAAAGCGCUGCUUCCAAGUUCUAGCCGGGGAGCAGAGCAGCUGCCAGCCCUCAUGGUAAACAGAGCUGCGCCACCUGUGCCCCCCGCCGGGCACGAAGGCAGCAGCCUUGUUCCUCCUCUGGUACAUUCCUGCUCACAGCGGCCAUGGCCUCUCUGGGGGAAGGAGGGCUGGUCGGAACUAGGGCUCUGGAAGGAUUAUUCCAGUACUAUGCCUAAGAGCCCUACUCUCUGGGGAAGCUACAGGCACACCAAGGAAGAGUAUGGCCACCCUCAGAGCUCACACAUCCAUAAACAAAUGAAGGCUUGAGAUUUUUUUUAAACCUAAAGUCUAUGUGAGUGUGCACUUCAACAGCUUGGGAAUGUUGGGACUUGGUCAUUUGUCCUUUCCCAAGGCCUUUCUUUGAUUCCAAAAAAUAAACUCUCCCUCCCGUGUGGACUCUCGUGGGGCUCGAGGCCAUU